rnacentral:rRNA from 1 species
GAUGAACGCUGGCGGCGUGCCUAAUACAUGCAAGUCGAGCGAACAGAUGAGGAGCUUGCUCCUCUGACGUUAGCGGCGGACGGGUGAGUAACACGUGGAUAACCUACCUAUAAGACUGGGAUAACUUCGGGAAACCGGAGCUAAUACCGGAUAAUAUAUUGAACCGCAUGGUUCAAUAGUGAAAGACGGCUUUGCUGUCACUUACAGAUGGAUCCGCGCCGCAUUAGCUAGUUGGUAAGGUAACGGCUUACCAAGGCAGCGAUGCGUAGCCGACCUGAGAGGGUGAUCGGCCACACUGGAACUGAGACACGGUCCAGACUCCUACGGGAGGCAGCAGUAGGGAAUCUUCCGCAAUGGGCGAAAGCCUGACGGAGCAACGCCGCGUGAGUGAUGAAGGUCUUCGGAUCGUAAAACUCUGUUAUUAGGGAAGAACAAAUGUGUAAGUAACUAUGCACGUCUUGACGGUACCUAAUCAGAAAGCCACGGCUAACUACGUG